GUCUACGGCCAUACCACCCUGAAUGUGCCCAAUCUCAUCUGAUCUCAGAAGCUAAGCAGGGUCUGGCCUGGUUAGUACUUGGAAGGGAGAAACAGAAUAUAUAUACA
rnacentral:rRNA from 1 species